GGUUGAGUUUGUGCAUCGAUUGUGAACACAACAGGCAGCAGGCUAUAAUGGUGGUCCUGGCUGGAGUAGUUUUCACAGACUUCAGUAAUCUGUGGAGAUGAACGGGCAGUUCUCUGUAGUUUUCACAGAUCACUGCCAGUUCGUUUUGAGGCCUUCAGGAGUGAAGACCUGGCUCAUCAUCACUCUUUGUUGUUUUGUUAAAUUUAUUUACACCCUACUUUAUUCCAGAGGAAAGGAUUUAACGUAGUUUACAUAAAUGUGUACAUCAGGGUAAAUUAAAAAUAAGUACAGAGAAAAAUAGGACAAAAGAAAACCGUGAGUGUGAAAGAUAAGAUUAAGCCAGCAGUUUUGUAUGCAAAAUGCAUGGUGUAAGGUCCUAUUGGUUUGCUGGAGGUAGGCCACACAUAUGACUCUCAGUUUUCUAGCAACCAAGAAAAAGAUCAGUUGCAAUCGGAGUAGGUGUUUUGGCUAAGCUGGAACUAGGACUUGAAUAUAGCAGCUUGUAGAGUUAUACCACUUGCCCAAAUCUCUUCCAUGAGCCUCUUUAAGUGUAACAGAAUGCCUGGGAGCACGUAAAUGCUCCUACUUAGAUGCCUACUUAGCCUCUAAUUUUCAUGGGGCCCAUGAAUCCCAUGAAAAAGAACUUUGAACCCUGUCCACAAUUAGAGUUCAGGUAUACGCAGACAUGUUUAAAGACAAGGGACACCCAAAGGAAAGAUUGCACAGAGAGAAAGUGAGCAUCCGAGAGAAAAUCACCACAAGUGAGGCAGAGGGAGGCCGGUCUCAGCAGAGUUUUGGAGGUCGUGAGAAGAAGAGAUAAUGUCUGUGCCUAUCAGAUAAAGGCAAACCAGUGCUCAGAGGAACCCAACCAUCUCUGAAUUGAGACCAGAGAGCUGUCUCUAUGGAUAGUCCUUAGAGAAGGCAUUUCGGAACACAGUAAACAGCAGCCUGGUGACUCCGAUUACAGGGCCAGUUGCCUUUGUUACAAUAAAAGCAAGUCAUCUACACAGAUUUUUCCUACCAGGAAGAGCAUGUGCUGACCAACAGACAUGAAUUUCAGCCUGGUAGUUACAACAUUCACAGGAGUUUCACUCGUUGCCCAGGCUGGAGUGCAACGGCGCGAUCUCAGCUCACUGCAACCUCCGCCUCCCCAGUUCAAGCGAUUCUCCUGCCUCAGCCUCCUGAGUCACUGGAAUUACGGGCGCCUGACACCACGCCCAGCUAAUUUUUUGUAUUUUUAGUAGACAUGGGGUUUCACUAUGUUGGCCAGGCUGGUCUCGAACUCCUGACCUCAUGAUCCUCCUGCCUCAGCCUCCCAAAGCACUGGGAUUACAGGUGUGAGCCACUGUGCCUGGUCCAUUAAAAACAUUUGUAAAGCUAUGGUGUUGAUAAAGUAUUAUGAAAGACUGCAAAAAAAGAUGGCUAAUUUUUAGUUAUUAUUGCACAUGUUUAGAGGAGCUAAUGACAUUUUCUAUGAUUAAUAAAAGACAUUAUUUAUGUUUUUAUUUAUGUAUUCCACAACAUUUAUUUUAUUUUCUCCAUUUCAGGAAAACCACUAUGUUGUUACAAUAAAGAUUUUCAUGUAAUUUGUGUUCAAUUGAUAGUAAUAAUGUAACAAGUUAAAAAUGAAGGUAAUUGUGUUUAAAAUUUGAGCAUAUUUUCAUCAAAAUGUAAGUUAAAGUGAUUGUAAAUUUUAAGAUCAUAAUUACUUUGUAUAUCUUCAAGAAAAUUAUUGUUUUAAAAUAUUUAUGCCUAUUAAAAUUAGAAGGCAAAAUAAAAAUAUAUGAAUACCAACAUUUUAAAUAAAAAUCAUUUAAAUAA
rnacentral:lncRNA from 1 species